rnacentral:lncRNA from 10 species
GAUUCAUAUUUUUUUCAGUCAGUCAAUUAAACUUUCAGUGGUUGAGUUUCUAUGCUCUAGACACUAUGAGGGCACAAUUCUGACUCAGUGGUUACAUGAUAGUCACCAAUACUAAGCCUUAAUUAUUUCAUGAAAAGUCCCUGCUCUAGUCCAUCUUGAAUAUAAAACUAAAAAAUUAACUAUAGGGAUGUCUAUAUGCCUUCUAUUAGCCUCAUCUUACUUAUCUCACUUCAGCAUGUAAAAAUAUAAUCAUAAUAACUACUUAAUUAGUUUUAAAACUUCAGUACAGAUUUUAAAGUAUGAAAUCAGCUAUACUUAUUUUCAGAUUUCAAUUUAAUAAUUUUUUCUUUGGAGUUCCUUAAAAUAUUCCUUGAUUUUCAACAUUAUCUCCUAAUGUGAUCAACUCUCUUCAGCCCACUCGUAUUCCUUUUUCCAAUCUUACCCUGUUUUCUUAGUCUCUGAGACUUUGCUUAUAUUGAUCACAUGUCUGGGAUGUGUUCUCCUCACCAAUGGAAUCUUGUUAAUCUAACUUCAAAUUUACCUUGUCCAAAAAUGUUUUUGCAGUAAACUUUACCUAGGAUAAUUCUUUGUAUCUUAAAUAUAGAAUAAGUUUUCGAUAAAUUGUUAAUUAUACACAGAUAGAUGUUUUGUGACUUUCUUACUAAGCAUGUAUUUAGAUACAUAUAGCAAAAGGUAAUCAGUUGUGAAACCAUUAUGUGUGAUUCACAUAAUGAGUUGUGUGAUUCACAUAAUGAGUUAUGUGAAUCAAGGGGUUGCCAAGUCCUGCCAUCGAUACUCAGUUUGGAUGAUGUUCUCUUCCAUAGGGUGAAAAGUUGCUUUACAAAUGCUCCCUACGUAUGUCGUUUGUGUUUAGUUUCUUAUACUACUUUGUUUUGAGUAAGGAAAAUUGAUUUUUAAUUUAUUCCAUUUAAUUAUGUCAUCUGGUCUCCUUUCAAGUUCCUAUUUAAAUGGCUUCUGAAAUAAUAAAAACAUAUAAAUAGUUCUUUAUUCUAGAUUAAGUCAAAUUUUUUAUUUCUUCAUAAUUGUUUAAAUUAAAAAAACUCAGUAUACUUUUGCUCUUUCUUCUAUAUUUAAACCUUAAUAAAUUCUGAUAUAUAUGAGCUACUUCAGGAUUCAAUUGCAUUUUUAAUAACUGUGCUUUUCUACAUGUUUAAUAAAUCAACCAAUGAAUGAGCAAAGAAAUCAAUAAAUGAAGAUAAAUACAACAACUAACUAAAAAGAGCCUUUGGGUAGGGGAAGCCCUACCCAAUAUUCAAGAAUAUUUUGAUAUUCUUGAAUGAAUUCACAUGUGAAAUCCAGAUUCAUGCAGUGUAUAAACUGAGUUUAGCAACCAAAGCCUGACAUGCUGGCAAUUUCAGCAGACUAGCAAAAGCUGUUAUUUUUGAUUGAAGAAUAGAAAUUUGCAUUGAUUAUCAAAACAGACUGACAUUCAUUUGCAUGAACAUGAUAAACCUACAGCAAGCAUGCUAGCCAAAUAGCACAUUUAUCAGAAAAAUAGCUUCAGUGUGAAAUUAAUAAGUUGUUUUCCUUUUUUUCAACAUGGGCAAUAGGAACUUUUUGGUUUUGUUUAAGUAUUAUCUAUUCCAGCUUAUACAUUGUUUACUUUUCAUAAUGUAAUAAUAACACCAUGGCACCAAUGCAUUCUUUCCAUGUGAGAUAAUUACAUAAAUUAAGUUAGUCCAAUACUUACACCUAGCCUGAGUUCAAAACAGUUUUUUAAUGUUUUGAUUAUAAGCAAGUAAAUGAGCAUAUGUCCAAUUACAUUUUGGGUGCAAUAGCUUUAGCCACCACAUUUUGGCAUUUUAUUUUAUUAGCUAAAAGUUCACAUAUGGUUUCCAUGUCUCCAAGCUGUCUUUAAAGAUACAAGACUUGUAUAACCUAACAUUGUUUUCUUUCCUCCUCUCUCCCCAGACCCCUCCCUAUGUUCCCCAUGUCUCACAUACGCUCCCUCAUAGAGGCACCCCUCUUAGGUUUUUAAGAUUAUAUGUGCAAAUAGUGAAAACCUGAAAGUUUGCAGAUGCUUUCAAGGAAUAAUAAAAGAAUUUUCCAACCCUAAAAUUUUUACCUAAUAAAGUAUUCUGAAAUGAAUUCAAAAAUGUUUACUAUAGAAGCAGCAGUAUUAAUGUACAAAUAUAUACAAGUUACAAUUACUAUUUAGCUGCUUCAUUCUUUGGCUUGAUGCUACACACUAGCAUUAUUGUCACCCUUUUCCUCCUCAAGACCCUCCUCAGCAGCUUUGGGAUAAAGGAAGGGGAAACUUAGUGAACAUCUUAAAGGUUGAAAUGUAUAAGACACAGCCUUGCUGGUGAAGGACACAGAAUAAGGGAGCACAAAGAACACAUUCAGUUCCUUUUGGCUUCAACAUUCUUCUCUGUGUAUCUGUGUUACUGAUAUGGUUAAUGGUUUGGAAAACUGCAAGACUUGCAUAUUCUGGCCAGGGCUUAAAGACAACCUUUCUGAACAACCAACUAACAACUUGGUUACUUUUUAGGCUGUUGCUUUUAGCGUUUCAAAAGCCUUGGAGUAAAUCAAAUGUCUUUACUUUUUUUUAGUUGCCUCACCUGUUUAUUGGAAAUAUCAUAUUUAAUUUACAAAGAAAGUGGGGAUUUUAAUAUAUUGUUGAUUUACAAAGGUUUCUAAAACUUCAUAUACAAGCAGUAUUCAACUGAUAUAGGAUAUUCUUCAAGUUCAAUAUAUAUAUUUAAGAAGAAAAAAUCGUAAGACUAUGAAAUAGUCAACUGUGUAAAAUGUUGAACUGUGUUAAAUGUAAACUCCUGCAUGCUAUAGAUCUUCAUGCAGUAGAUCUGACUUCUAGCUUUCAAACACAUAACUUUUUCAAAUUCCAUUAUUUGCAGGCAACCCCUUAAGAAGCAGGACAUGGAAUAUUUUGUCAUUUUCAUUCUGAGGAACAGACUGGUUGGGUGCACUAGGCAGCUGAUAUGAUGGGAAAUCCUGCUGUCCAUGAAAGAAAGUUAAUGGAUUUUUAUAAUGGUGCCAAUCAUAUGGUAGAAAUUAUCCUUUCAAUAUUAGAGAAUUUGAUUAAAGGAAUUACGUGAAUUAGAAAUUUUGAAGAAUUUCAUUGAAAAGCAUUUUAAAGGUAAUGCAAAUUUUUGAUUGAAAAUAUUUUGGUAAUAAGUCAUACAUGCAUGAGCUGUAAAAUUCAAAGAUUAUUAAAAGAUUAGGAUUGUGUAUUCUAUUCCUGUGAAGAAUGUCAUUGGUGUUUUUAUAGGGACUGCACUGAAUCAAUAGAUGGCUUUGGGGAGUAUUUUUCCUUGUAGAGAUCUUUUACUUCUUUAGUUAAACUGAUUCCUACAUAUUUUAUUUGUAGCUAUUGUAAAUGGGAUUGCUUUCUUGAUUUCUUUUUCAGGAUUACUCUUAGCAUACUGAUUUUUAUGUUGAUUUUGUAUCCUGCAACUUUAAUAAAUUGUAUGGAACCACAAAAUCAUCUAAAUAGUUAAAGCAAUACUCAGCAAAAAGAACAAAGCUGGAGGUAUCACACUAUAUGAUUUCAAAUUGCACUGCAAAGCAAUAGUUACCAAAACAGCAUGGUACUAGCUAAAAAACAGACACAUAGACCAAUGGAACAAAAUAGAAAACCUAGAAAUAAAUCCAUGCACUUACAGCAAACUUAUAUUUGACAAAGACACCAAGAACAUACAUUGGGGAAAAUACAAUCUCUUUAACAAAUGGUUCUGACAAAACUGGUUGUCCAUAUUCAGAAGAAUAAAAUUAGAUACCCAUAUUUUACUGUAUACAAAAAUCAACUUGAAAGAUUAAACACUUAAAGAUAAGACCUAAAACUAUAAAACUACUAGAAGAAAAUAUUGGGGAAACACUCCAGGAUAUUGAUCUGAGCAAAGAUUUUUGACUAAGAUCUCAAAAGCACAGGCAAUAAAAGCAAAAAGAGGCAAAUGGAACUACACCAAGCUAAAAUGAUUCUGCACAGCAAGGAAAGAAUUAACAAAGUAAAGAGAAAACCUACAUAAUGGAGGAAAAUAUUUGCAAACUAGCAAGCUGACAGGGGAAUAGUAACCAGAAUAUACAUAAAACUCAACUCAAUAGCAAAAAAACACACAAAAAACCCCACAAAUAAUUCAAUUUAGUAAUGGGCAAAAUAUCUGAAUAGACAUUUCUCAAAAGAAGACAUACACAUGGCCAAUGGGUAUAUAAAAAACAUGCUCAACAUCAUUAGUCAUCAGAGAAAUGCAAAUUAAAACCACAGUGAGAUAUCAUCUCACCUUAGUUAGAACGGCUACUCUUAACAAGACAAAAGAUAACAGGCUGAUGGGGAUGUGGAGAAAGAGGAACAUUUGUACACUAUUGAGGGGAAUGUAAACUAGUACAGUCACUAUUGAAAAUAGUAUGGAAGUUCCUAAAAAAACUGAAAGUACAACUACUAUAUGAUCCAGCAAUCCUAUUUCUGGGUAUCUUUCCAAAAUAAAGGAGAUCAGUAUAUUGAAG